rnacentral:lncRNA from 1 species
CCAGCCCAGAAAAGUAAUUACAGAACUGUUGUGAGGCUGUUAGCAGCUGCUUUUCAUUUUUUUCCCAUUAUGCCUGGGCUGUGGCAGAGAAAAAUAGGAAUGACGAAGACCCACAACAGAAAUGCUGCCCAAUCCACUGGCCUAUCACAUGUGGUUUAUGGAAACUUCCUUAAAGUCAAGAGACUGUCAUACUGGAUGAGAUGGAUGGAUUUUGGAACAUAUCCCAGUAAGCUGAGAUACUCAUGUGGUCAAGUGUCGGUCUUCCUGAUCAAAUCUGACUUAUUCUCUCCAAAGUUGCCUCAUUUUGCCAGCUCUACAGCUGCAGCAUUGUGUCUUUGAAAAAAUUAUUGGCUUAACACCAUCUGCAAGAUCCUGCAUUGGUCCUAGCACUAGGAGCAUUGUUUCCAGUGGAAUUAAUGGCUAUGUUCACAUUGUACCUGCGUUAAUUGAGUUAUUUUCACACAUGCUAAUGUGUUGGUUACUCAGAGUCUAGUUCUCACUUACCGUCUGUUACUAAAUGUGCAUAUAAAUGGGAGAAAUCUUGGAAAUGACUGCCAAAAUCCAAAUGGCCUACUCUUUGGGGA